rnacentral:rRNA from 1 species
UGCCAGACUCCUACGGGAGGCAGCAGUGGGGAAUAUUGCACAAUGGGGGAAACCCUGAUGCAGCGGCGCCGCGUGAGCGAUGAAGUAUUUCGGUAUGUAAAGCUCUAUCAGCAGGGAAGAAGAUGACGGUACCUGACCAAGAAGCUCCGGCUAAAUACGUGCCAGCAGCCGCGGUAAUACGUAUGGAGCAAGCGUUAUCCGGAUUUACUGGGUGUAAAGGGAGCGCAGGCGGCCUUGCAAGUCUGAUGUGAAAGGCCGGGGCCCAACCCCGGGACUGCAUUGGAAACUGCGAGGCUGGAGUGUCGGAGAGGCAGGCGGAAUUCCUGGUGUAGCGGUGAAAUGCGUAGAUAUCAGGAGGAACACCGGCGGCGAAGGCGGCCUGCUGGACCGUGACUGACGUUGAGGCUCGAGAGCGUGGGGAGCAAACAGGAUUAGAUACCCCCGUA